rnacentral:rRNA from 1 species
AACGAACGCUGGCGGCAUGCCUAACACAUGCAAGUCGAACGAGACCUUCGGGUCUAGUGGCGCACGGGUGCGUAACGCGUGGGAACCUGCCCUUAGGUUCGGAAUAACUCCCCGAAAGGGGUGCUAAUACCGGAUAAUGUCUUCGGACCAAAGAUUUAUCGCCUUUGGAUGGGCCCGCGUUGGAUUAGCUAGUUGGUAGGGUAAAAGCCUACCAAGGCGACGAUCCAUAGCUGGUCUGAGAGGAUGAUCAGCCACACUGGGACUGAGACACGGCCCAGACUCCUACGGGAGGCAGCAGUGGGGAAUAUUGGACAAGGGGCGAAAGCCUGAUCCAGCAAUGCCGCGUGAGUGACGAAGGCCUUAGGGUUGUAAAGCUCUUUUACCCGGGAUGAUAAUGACAGUACCGGGAGAAUAAGCUCCGGCUAACUCCGUG